rnacentral:rRNA from 1 species
CGGCGAGGGGAGUGAAAUAGAACCUGAAACCGUGUACGUACAAGCAGUGGGAGCCCCACCACUAAGCCAGUGGUGAGUCAUCACAGCGUCAUCCUUACUUGAUGGCGGUUGGCGGAACGUCCUUUGUGACGCCCAACCCAAAAAAUCAAGCAAAGGGGGCUUAGUGGUGGGGUGACUGCGUACCUUUUGUAUAAUGGGUCAGCGACUUAUAUUCUGUAGCAAGG